GGAGAGAUGGCUCAGUAGUUAAGAGCACUAGUUGCUCUUCUAGAAGACCUGGGUUCAAUUCCCCGCACUCCC
rnacentral:tRNA from 1 species